GGGUAUAUUAUGACAAACCAAUGUAAUGAAGAGAGGGGAUGACAUAAAAAUCAUGUUCACUAGGGUUCUGCUGAGACCC
ensembl:snoRNA SNORD115 Small nucleolar RNA SNORD115